CUCCCGGCGCACGAAGUCCGGUAGCUGCAGAGGGGGGCCCCGCGCGCGCUCCACGCGGCCCCAGCGCAGCUCGGUUUGCAGGCUCCCGCCCUCCGGCCACGGCGCCCAGCUCUCGGCCACCGCCGCGGGCGCCUGCAGCGACAGUCCCGAGAUGCCGGCGGCGGCGCAGGGCCGGCGCAGGGUCGUGGCGUAGGCCGGAGGGCAGGCCCACCAGGGCGGCGCGGCCUCGGGUGGCGCGGCGGGGCCGUAGAAGCGGUGGUAUUCCCGUGGGGCCGCCCACUCGCCCGCAUGCAGGCUCCCGGGCCGGCUGCGGAAGCUGUGGGCCUGGACUGGGGGUAGCAGCAGAGGGGCGGCCAGGCUGGAGUGCAGCGGCAUGAUCUCGGCACACUGCAGCCACCGUCUUCCAGGUUCAAGCGAUUCUCCCACCUCAGCCUCCCGAGGAGCUGGGAUUACAGGAGUUCAGUGGCAUGACCAGGGCUCACUGCAACCUUGAUCUGGGCUCAAGUGAUCCUCCUACCUCAGCUUCCUGAGUAGCUAGGACCACAGGUGUGCACCAACCACACCCGACUAAUUUUUGUAGAGAUGAGAUCCCACUAUGUUACCCAGGCUGGUCUUGAACUCCUGGGCUCAGGUGAUCAUCCUGCCUUGGCUUCCCAAAGUACUGGGAUUAUAGGCUUGAGCCACCGUGCCUGGCCUGUGAUCAGAAUUCUCAUUUUUUUAGUCACUAAAAAUGCUGGGGGGCACUCCAUUCUCCAUUAUGUGAUUAGUUCACAUUGCAUGCUUGUAUCAAAACAUCAUAUAUACCCCACAAAUAUAUACAAAAAACUUUAAAAUUUUAAGUAUUAAUUGC
rnacentral:lncRNA from 1 species